ACGAAGGACUGCACCUCAUGGCAUCCCACUGUCAACCUCCUGAAGUUCACAGAUGACACCACGGUCAUCAGCCUUGUUAAAGACUGUGACAAGUCUGUAUAUCGACUGGAAGUGGCGAGACAGGCACUUUGGUGUGGUCAACACAACCUGGCAUUGAACACUCAAAAGACUGUGGAGAUGAUUGUUGACUUCAGGAGGCAUCCUUUACCACAGCUGCCCAUGACCCUGUCCAACUGUCUUGUGUCACCCGUCGAGACAUUUAAGUUCUUGGGAAUUACAGUCUCAGAGGACCUGCAGUGGGGGAUGAACAUCAACUCCAUCCUCAAAAAAGCCCAGCAAAGGAUAAAGUUCUUGCGGCUUCUGAGGAAGCAUGGCCUGUCACAAGAGUAGAUGAGAUAGUUCGACACAGCGGUUAUCCAAUCAGUACUGAGUACCUCCAUAACAGUCUGGUUUGGAGCCGCCACUAAAAAGGACAAACUCCGACUGCAACCACACUACCCACUAUCGAGGACUUGCACGCAAUGCGAACUAGGUCCAGAGCAGAUCCUCCACAUCCUGGUCACCAGCUCUUCCAGCUCCUUCCUUCAGGAAAGCGCUACAGAUCAAUGAAAGUCAAAGAGGAACAGCCCAGCUGACCUUAUGUGAAACAUUGCUACCACAUAUAGUCAGUAAAGCCAACUAAAGCAGAGCACUGCAUCGUAAACUAGCGAGGCUCCAUGCUAAUCCCAGUCCCACAACAGAAUGUCUACCUGCAGUGACGUCCGAGGUCAGCCACACGAAAUGGACAUUUUUCAGGAGACGGUGACCCCUGGUGACCUCGUUCUGGUGAAAGUGGUGAAAAGGAAAACUUGGUCGAGCCCACGUUGGGACGGCCCCUUCACAGUCCUACUCACCACCCCUACUGCAAUAAAGAUUGCUGAAAGAGACACUUGGAUUCACCAGAGCCAUUGCAAGAAGGUCACCGAACUGAAAUAGGGUUAACUGGACUCUUAGGGUCAGUUGAACUCUUGCACCACACCUACCAACAUGGCCUGGCUGUGGCUCUAUGGAGCUGCCAUCGUCCUUGGACUAGGAAUGGUCCACCUCACAAACACUGACACUAUACCCAACAUUAAAACACAGAUCUGGGGCCCAGAGACGUCACGACGCCAAUGCCCAACAUGGCCCAGCCCAGUAAUGGAAGACCAGGCAUACACAGCAUGCAUCCCACGAGCCAAAGGGACAGGAACUCUGGAUAUUCCUUUGAAGGGUUUGAGAUCACUGUGCGCAGAAUGUGAAGCCAUGGGGGGCAACAGAUAUGUACCAGGGACGCGUCACGGUAUUUACAAGUGGUAUGCAGGCACCCCACCCGAGAGAUGGACUGAUAAUGGGUAUCGGGAGGGGUGGGAUUCGGUGUUUCACGUCACAGGAUAUACAGUUAAAUGGAAGCUAACAUCCUUGGCCCAGGCCUACCAAAAGGAAGUGUUGGAAUUCACAAAGAACACCACACAUUUGCAAAUGAAAGUAAACACAUCCAUGGAAGGUUGUUUGCAAAUGGCAUUAAUGCCAUGGGCUGGCACGUAUCCAGACAUGCAUUCAUUCCAGUACUGUAUAUUUAAUUCUGAAGCAGAACCUCAAAGUACUGGAGGUAACCCUGUGGCAGCAUUACCAAUAGACAUCGUUCAAACACGAGAUGAUAAUCAAACUCCAUCCAUUUUUAAACACUGGGAUGACCAGAUAGAAGACGAAGGAUAUUCACAUCCACUGGCAUCCAACACAUGGUGGCAGUAUGCUAACCACACUGCCCAUUCACAAGGGAGCUUUCCCUUGUGAAUGGGCAGUGUGGAUGUUAUGUUUGUUCCCUUUUACCUCAUGCAGCCAACCAACCAGCAUUGUAUGCAACACCAUUGUCUUACGAAGAAGCCAACACUGCACUGCAGGAGACACUCACACCAUCUGUAAAUCAGACACACGAACCACUGUUAGUUGUUACCAAAGCAACAGCUACGGGUUUUAAAGUCACACUUGACAAAGCACAUCUCCACCAUUGUAACAACAUUGAAGACGAUAAAUAUUGUUUCCCAAUGUGUGUCAAUGUCACCAGUUCAGGUGGAAAACAUAUCACACCCAUCGACACCAAACAUUGUAAUGUUACAGAUAAUGCACAACCAGCACACCACACAGCUCUGGACGGAGUGUGGUGGAUGUGUGGUUGGAAGGCAUACACCAAGUUACCUGAAAAUACAACCACAGUUUGCACACCAGUAACAGUCUCAGAUCACACCUACAUAGUCACAGCACACCCGUUACAUCGCAGAACUAAGAGAUAUGUUGACUUUGAGCCACAUGAUGAUUGGGGAGGCAGCAAUGUCCCACAAGAGCAUAAGUAUUGGUCUACAGGAAGCAGGGUCGGCAUGGCAAUGUUCCCACAGUUUAGAGUAGGUUUACUCACUUUACGUGUUGAAACCAUUGAUUACAGAUUUCAGACCUUUGUAAAUGCCACAUUUGAUGUCGUCACUGAUCUUUACGACACCCUGUCAGCCACACGCCUUAUGGCUCUCCAAACACGCAUGGCUGUUGACUUAGCCUUAGCUCCUCAGGGUGGUGUCUGUGCCAUGAUAGGAGAACACUGUUGCACUUACAUACCUGAUCAUAAUGAAACCAUUGUAGACGUCCUCCACACCAUGAAGAAUCUGAAAGACACAAUGGCAGCUGAUCAUGAGAAGCUACCUAAUUGGCUUGAUUGGUUGUUCACGGGCACAUGGUCCCAAGUUCUAUUGGAAAAUCAUUGGUCCUUUUUUGAUCAUAAUCAUUUUUGUUCUUCUUUGCAUUAUCUGUUCAACUUGCAUUGUCCCAUUGUCCAAGAGAGCAGUCAAUAGGCUCUUUGUCGCCCAAAUGUAUCAUUAUAAUCUGAUAAACCUCGAUGAUGAUAUUGAGGAUGAUGAUUAUGUUGAUGAUGUUCUCAUGUGAUCACUGAGGCUUUUCUUUAACUCCAUGUUUUGUCUAUCACCAGACCAAGAAGGUUCUCGUCCUCAUACGAGGGGGGAGUUGGGGAAUUUUCCCUACAACAAAUACGCUACAAAUAGCGGUAGGGUUUUUCGCCCCAUCCUGGUGAUGGACCGAUUAUUGUGUUUUCAUUAUGAUGUGUUUACCAGAAACCUUUGGUUGGUAUUCAUUGAUGUUCUUCGAAAUCCACAACAGGGGGGAAAUGUGAAGUUACUUAAGAAUGUUCUAUACAUAGUUUGUGUAUUUCUCAGAAACAUUCUUCAUUAUUCACUGUCUACAUAUCUCUUUCUUUGUCUGUCUAAUGCCCUCCCACCUAUGACACAUUCUUCUACCUAAUAAAAGUUGGCUGCGCUGGGGGGUAGGGGAGAGAGAGAGAGGAAGAAACAAUGGAGCCGAGAACACACAUCCAGUG